CAGGACGGCAAGGUUUCGUAGGUAUGACCAGCAGCCCACGUCAAUCGGCCGAUAAGGCGUGACGCUGACAGUACGCGGGUUCGAGUCCCGCACGUCCUGA
rnacentral:tRNA from 1 species